CAGUAGGGUGCCAUCAAGAGGUGUAUUUGGAAAUAUCCCUAAUACAGGAUCACU
rnacentral:rRNA from 1 species